UCUCCGUAGGUGAACCUGCGGAGGGAUCAUUACUGAGUGAGGGCUUCGGUCCGACCUCCAACCCUUUGUGAAUCGUACUCGUUGCUUCGGGGGCGACCCUGCCGUCCGCGGCUGAGCGCCACCGGGGUCAAUCAAACACUGCAUUCUCUGCGUCGGAGUAUUAGUAAAUCUAAUCAGAACUUUCAGCAACGGCUCUCUUGGUUCUGGCAUCGAUGAAGAACGCAGC
rnacentral:misc_RNA from 1 species